GAAAGAAAAACAAACUCAACCCGGCUCGACACUUUUUCGAAAGCACAAGACUAAGAGUGAGAACAAGAAAAAGGUUAUAUUAUUAUGACAGAGGGCUUCGUUGCGGCUUUGCCUUCGUCCUCGUCAUCUGGAUCACGUGAGAAAAAAAAAAGAAAAAGGAAAAUUAAGAGAAUUAAAAAGCCCUGUGUCUGGUGAGAUAACCCAUAAACCCACGUGCACCCUCAGGAGACUGUCGUCUUCCACAGAAAACAUCGGUAAUGUCGUUACAUUGCAGCAACUCUGCAGCAGAUUCCGGAGAGUCAAAGAUGAAGACCUACAGUAUGUCCUCGGGA